GUGGCUCAGAGGGUAAGAGCACUGACUACUAUUCUUCCAGAGGACCUGGGUUCAAUUCCCAGC
rnacentral:tRNA from 1 species